ensembl:lncRNA
AGUCAUUUAACUUCUCAGCUUCAUUUUCCUGAUUCAAAUAAUGGAGAAAACUUCCCCUAUUUCAGAGGGCAGGACUGACGUGCUGGAGCCAAAUCACCCUGCCCAAGACGGUCUGCACUCAAGGCGUCUCCAGAGCUGACAGGAAAUGAUUCAAGCCCAAGAUGUUGUGUCUCAGAGUUAUCUGCAUAGAUGGAGAUGCUGGAAGACCAUGGAGCGCAGCUUCCCACAGAAAAUCAUCAGUUCCUCUGGUCCGGAGGUUCUCUGGAACAAUCCUCUUCAGUCUCCUCUGAGCAGGACAAGUUUAGUGCGCUCAUCACGGGGUGCACCCAGGACGUAAUCUGUGUUACGUGAUUGAUGAAGUACUCGAUUCCACCUGCUGUGUAAGCUUCCUCCCACCCAUAAGGUAGACAAUCCGUAUCAAGUAUGGCACGGACAGAUUUAACAAGUUCCUUAGACCCAAGUGCCAGUGUUGCUGGGAUGUUGUGUCCAUUCUUUCCCAAUGGCGUGACUUAAAUUUGACCAAGGUGCAGAAUUAUCAGAAAAUACAUCUUGAAUAGCCUCUACAAAAUGGAGAAGCUUUUCAGUGGAUGCCUCAAAAGUUUUCCAAGCCAUUUCUGAUUUUCGCAAUUGGCAGUCCAGUACUGUGAUUCUCUUUCUUAACUCCUGAACACUGUUUAUUUUGGUCAGAAAAACCAGCAAGCUGAGCCUUCAGCUCUGUAAUCUCAGCCUCUAACAGACGGAUCACUUCCUUGUAAUCCAUUUCCAUUCCUUGUGCCUGUCUCUGUGCAGCUUCGGCAAGAUGAAGCCGGCUUCGCAGGGCUCUUGUUUCUUCGACCACAGCUUUGGCUUCUUGUUUAACAUUCUGGAAUUCUUCUGUCAAUUGCUUCCUCUGCCUUUCCGAUUCAAAAAUUUUUCCUUAAGUGUCUUCACUUCUUCCAAAGUGUUAUUUCUUUCAUGCUUAAACUUUUCCAUUUCAUCUGUUUCUAAG